rnacentral:rRNA from 1 species
GCGGAGGAAAAGAAACCAACAGGGAUUGCCUCAGUAACGGCGAGUGAAGCGGCAACAGCUCAAAUUUGAAAUCUGACCCCUUCGGGGCCCGAGUUGUAAUUUGUAGAGGGUGUUUCGGGCGCGGCGCCGGUCUAAGUUCCUUGGAACAGGACGUCAUAGAGGGUGAGAAUCCCGUAUGCGACCGGCGAUCAAGCCCAUGUGAAGCCCCUUCGACGAGUCGAGUUGUUUGGGAAUGCAGCUCAAAAUGGGUGGUAAAUUCCAUCUAAAGCUAAAUAUUGGCCGGAGACCGAUAGCGGACAAGUAGAGUGAUCGAAAGAUGAAAAGCACUUUGGAAAGAGAGUCAAACAGUACGUGAAAUUGUUGAAAGGGAAGCGCUUGCCACCAGACCGGUUCGGGGGUGAUCAGCCGCUGCUCGUCAGCUGGUGCACUCGCCCCCGAUUCCGGCCAGCAUCGGUUUGGGCGGCGGGAGAAAAGCCCCGGGAAUGUAGCUUCUUUCGGGGAGUCUUAUAGCCCGGGGCGCAAUGCCGCCCGCCCGGACCGAGGACCGCGCUUCGGCUAGGAUGCUGGCGUAAUGGUUGCAAGCGACCCGUCUUGAAACACGGACCAAGGAGUCUAACAUCUAUGCGAGUGUUUGGGUGUCAAACCCAUUCGCGGAAUGAAAGUGAACGGAGGUGGGAGCCCGUCGCACGGCGCACCAUCGACCGAUCCAGAUGUCUUCGGAUGGAUUUGAGUAUGAGCAUAGCUGUUGGGACCCGAAAGAUGGUGAACUAUGCCCGGAUAGGGUGAAGCCAGAGGAAACUCUGGUGGAGGCUCGCAGCGGUUCUGACGUGCAAAUCGAUCGUCAAAUCUAGGCAUAGGGGCGAAAGACCA